GAAAAUUGAUUUACGUCGAGUGAAUCUUCACAGAACAGCAUGUGCUUUGUGAAUAGCUCACUUGAU
ensembl:ncRNA C24A8.8 ncRNA